UACGUAGGGGGCAAGCGUUGUCCGGAUUUAUUGGGCGUAAAGAGCGUGUAGGCGGCCAUACAGGUCAGCUGUGAAAACUCGAGGCUCAACCUCGAGACGUCGGUUGAAACCGUAUGGCUAGAGUCCGGAAGAGGAGAGUGGAAUUCCCGGUGUAGCGGUGAAAUGCGCAGAUAUCGGGAAGAACACCCGUGGCGAAGGCGGCUCUCUGGGACGGUACUGACGCUGAGACGCGAAAGCGUGAGGGAGCGAACAGG
rnacentral:rRNA from 1 species